rnacentral:lncRNA from 10 species
UUAUUUUUAUGAAGAUGGGGUCCUUACUAUGUUGCCCAGGCUGGUCUCAAACUCCUGGCCUCAAGCUAUCCUCCAGCUUCAGCUUCCCAAAGCGCUGGGAUUACAAGUGUGAGCCACCACACCUGGCCUGGUCUCCUGAUUUGUUAAUCUUCCCUGGGGUUAAGUUCUAAUUUCUGAGACUAAAUCAUAAAAGGCCCUAGAAAGCCCUGGGGCUUCUUCCUAGAGGGCAGCUGUGCCUCUUAUACUUCCCUGAUAAUCACAGAGGAAAGGGAGAUGGAUCAUCUACUCAUAUUCUUACUGAGAGGAAAUCACACUCCAGCUCCUCAGAAGCAGCCAGGUUUUCCUCAACACUUUCUCUUAGGAGUUUCCUUUGGUUGAAAUGCUCAUGAAAUGCAAGGUGUGCUAAGGUAUUAAUAUUUCCUCAGUCAUUUUCCUACUAGGUCUGUUGGCUUCAAUAUGAAAUCCAAAAGCCAACCCUAUGUCACAACACUGAUAAGGUUUACACCUAUUUGUUUUAAGUUUGCUAAUAGCAUUUUCUGAAAUUUCAUACUUACGGAAUGAUGAUGAAUUAUAUGUUUGAAUCCAUGAAAGGACAAAGUUAC